UCUCUCUCUUCUCGCCGGACGCCGCAGACAUGGUGUUCAGGCGCUUCGUGGAGGUUGGCCGAGUGGCCUACGUCUCUUUUGGGCCUCACGCCGGAAAGCUUGUAGCGAUUGUAGAUGUUAUUGAUCAAAACAGGGCUUUGGUUGAUGGACCCUGCACUAAGGUAAGAAGACAGGCCAUGCCUUUCAAAUGCAUGCAACUGACUGACUUCAUCCUCAAGUUCCCACACAGUGCCCGCCAGAAGUAUGUCCGACAAGCCUGGCAGAAGGCAGAUAUAAAUACAAAAUGGGCAGCGACAAGAUGGGCCAAGAAAAUUGAAGCCAGAGAAAGGAAAGCUAAGAUGACAGACUUUGAUCGUUUUAAAGUUAUGAAGGCAAAGAAAAUGAGGAACAGAAUAAUCAAGAAUGAAGUUAGAAGCUUCAAAAAGCAGCUCUUCUGAAAGCUUCUCCCAAAAAAGCACCUGCGAAGGGUGCUGCUGCUGCUGCAGCGGCUGCUGCUAAAGUUCCAGCAAAAAAGGUGACCACUGCAGGCAAGAAGGCUGCAGCCCAGAAGGUUCCUGCCCAGAAAGCCACAGGCCAGAAG